CCUACGGGUGGCAGCAGUAGGGAAUAUUGCUCAAUGGGGGCAACCCUGAAGCAGCAACGCCGCGUGGAGGAUGAAGGUUUUCGGAUUGUAAACUCCUUUUGUUAGAGAAGAUAAUGACGGUAUCUAACGAAUAAGCACCGUCUAACUCCGUGCCAGCAGCCGCGGUAAUACGGAGGGUGCAAGCGUUAUUCGGAUUCACUGGGCGUAAAGAGCGCGUAGGCGGGUUAGCAAGUCAGAUGUGAAAUCCUAUGGCUCAACCAUAGAACUGCAUUUGAAACUGUGAUGCUAGAGUAUGGGGGAGGUAGGUGGAAUGCUUGGUGUAGCGGUGAAAUGCGUAGAGAUCACGAAGAAUACUGAUUGCGAAGGCGGCCUGCUAAGCCAUAACUGACGCUGAUGCGCGAAAGCGUGGGGAGCGAACAGGAUUAGAUACCCUUGUAGUC
rnacentral:rRNA from 1 species